CGGGGAGGGUUCGUAGUUCGCGCGAAAACGUUCGGUAAUGUUCGGUAGACUUCGGAUACAUUCGGUGUCGCCGGCGAGUGUUGAACCCCCACUUCGGUGGCGUAUCGUACGGCAGAAGGAAGAGUGGGGAGUCGGCGUUCGGCGGAUCGCCGUUCAAUCGUCGUUCGAUCGUCGCGCGAGGUGGUUGCGUGCUGAAAAGCUCGCACGGCUGUAAGGCGCGUGCCUCGGUUAAUACGAGAUAUAUACAGUGUACAACUCGCCCUCGUCGUGAGCACGUUUAUUCUUUUUCGUCCUGUUACGAAGGAAAAUUAUCUACGGAAUAACUAGGAGGAAAACUAACUACAACCGCUUCCGUUCUUUGGAAACCUUAUAUCAAUAGAAGACAGAAGGAGAGCAGGUGGUGGUGUAUAUAAGGCAAAAGAAGAAGAAAAGAGAUGUCUUCUCCUCGUUCGAGAUCCGUUCUUCGCGACAGUGACGUGAUGUCUCCUCGUUCCUUGUUACGCUGACGCCGCGCGUAGAAAGGUCUUCGUGAGAAAACGUGGUGACGGAGCGCGUUAUUUUUCCUCGAUUUUGUUUUAUAUCGUUCUUUUGUGCAUUCGGAUAUUAAUUUCUAGUUAAGGUCAACGCGCGUCCAAUAAACGAGUAUACGUCUGUACAUAUAUACGUAUACAUAUACAUAUACAAAUAUUUAUACGUUUAACGUAUAGCCGGCUGUGAUCGGUUUAUUUAGAAAAGUGCGUUGUUUCCGGUUCGGCUACGAUACUCGCUUCGUUUCUCGUGCCACGAGGUCGACGGAUUUAUUUUGUCCCUUUUGUAACUUACUUUCUGUGCCACGGAAGAGACAUACCAAUAUACAUACACACAUAUACGAACCAUACACAUAUACGCACGCACGCACGCACGCACGAUAAACUACACGACCCACACGCAUAUAUUGUCGUCGUGCGGUAAAUACACACACAGCGAAACGCGCGCGCGCGCGCGCGCGUAUCUAGACGACGUAGCAACGUACACACGAGGAAAGAUUCUUAGGAGUCGCGCGGCGCCAUGACCGCGGACGGCCUGUUCGAACCUACCAGCAUCCCGGGGCACCUCGCUCCCACGCCCGAGAGACUGGAGAGGCUUCUCUCGAAGCAGACCCUCGAGGAGCUCUACGAAGUCGAGGAACAGCCUUUCGCACGGUAGUAUUCUAACGGGACGAACGAACGAAUGAAAUAAGGAACGAACGAACGAAUGGAACGGUUGUACCAUAGCAACGGUCAAAUCAUCGAACGGUAACAUCUGGCGACUGCGUACACGCGGGGUACGUCUUAUUGCAAGUAGCAAGAAAACUUAAGGAUACUCACGUUUUUCUCUUACUAUAGCUUUACUCUAUUCCGCGACUUCAUAAUCGCAAAUCAUAGAGUACUUCUCUUUCUCGUUUUACGGUUGAUGCUGUUACGCAAGAGACGACCGAGAGAAAUAAAUCUAUCCCAGCGGUCUUGCUCGAUCCAACAGAGAGAGAGAGAGAGAGAGAGAGAGAGACGCGGAUUCGAGCUUUACGGUGUUGGGUCGUCGCGGCUCGGAGAAUAGUGCAGAGGAAAAAGACGGAGAAUGGAUCUAAGUGAGAGGAAGAUAGAGAAGGAGGAAGAAGAAGAAGAAGAAGCAGCAGCAGCAGCAGCAGCAGAAGAGAAGGUUGAGGAGAGGGUUCAGCGUGGGUUGAAAAUAGCCUGUGGCCGGGCGGAGUAUGCAGAAACCGUCCGCUAUGCACUUGCCAUUCGAUAUUUAUAUCCUUAUAGGUGAGUCUCGUUUCGAAAAGAAUAUUCCACAUACGAUUUAAUCUGAUCCAAUCCGAGUAAUUAUAUACUGGUGAGUUCGAUACAUAUAUACAUAAAUACAUAUAUCAAUACAUACAACGUACAUAUAUACAUAUAUACAUACAUAUAAUGAAAUAAUUUAAGACUUUUAAACGAUCGAGUUAAUCGAGAUUCCGUCGACGGGAUACGACGAGUGAGAAGGAUGCAGAAGGAGAAAAAAAAGCAGUCAGCACUUUCUCCACCCACGCGUCGUCCUUGCCUCGUCCGUCGCUCGUGCGGGUUUGAUUUUAUGGUACUUUGUACCGGCUCGCUUGUUCGUUCACUCGUUCACUCGUUCGCUCGUUCGCUCGUUCCUUCGUUCAUUCGUUCGCUCGUUCCUUCGUUCAUUCGUUCGCUCGUUCGUUCGAGAUGACCAGAUUUCUAUAAUGGUGGCCUUCGACGACACCCCCGCCUAUACGCGACAAACGUCCCUUCACCUUUCUGACUAGCCUAACGACUCGAUGCCCAACAGUUUCUCGAUGGAGAACAGCAGCACACGGUGGCAACGAUGCGGACUACGCGAUCGUGCUCAAUGAGAAGGAACGCCAUUUAACUUGUCUCCUUCUCUCUCUCUCUCUCUCUCUCUUUUUCUCCUCUUUCUUCUCUUUCUUCUUCUUCUUCUUUUUCUUUUUCUUCUUCUUCUUCUUCUUCUUCUUCUUUUUCUUCUUCUUCUUCUUCUAGACGCAAUGAGACCAACCCGUCGUUGUUCCUUUUCAAAGCCGCAGCAAACGCAUGUAUGUAAGCCUUCCUUCGCUUACCGAGUAUAGUAAAAGAGAGGGUAUCUGUCUCGAUAAUCGCUACCUGUGUGGCUACCUUAAUACUAGACUUUCACGAUCCAUGGUGUUAACAGAGUUUUCUCGUUCGCGAAUAUCAGAGACUCUUUGCGUACGUUGUAUAACGUACGAACACGCCGUUUGGUGUCUAUUUAACGCUCGGUCGCGUUCGGUAAACGCCUCAUGAUCGGUUUUUUUUUCUUUUUCUUUGUUUUUUUUUUUUCUUCUUCCCCGCAUUGUCGAACGAUAGAUUGAACGAUUUACCUAGAAAGUGGCGCGAUUUACGAGCCUGUUCUGCACGAUCGUCGUCCGGUCUCUUCUUGCCGUUUUUAUACUAUCUAAACGGAACUCUCGAUCUCUAAAAAAAGAUAAUGAAUUACGAUGAUAUCAAAUUUGUACUUCGAACGAGGAUGAUUCGAUGGUAGACGUUGUGAGAUUAUUUUAGUAAAAAUAAUAUACCGCGUUCUGAUCUCUCUUUGAUAAAACAAUGAAAUUUUUUAGAUAAACUAAAUAAAUAUCUCUUAUAGAUGGACAAAUAUUUUUGGAUAUUUUGUUCAUACGGUUGUCUUUGUAUGAUUUAAUAUUUUUUUACGAUAUAAUUGUUAACUAUAUU